rnacentral:rRNA from 1 species
UGGGGAAUUUUGGACAAUGGGCGAAAGCCUGAUCCAGCCAUGCCGCGUGAGUGAAGAAGGCCUUCGGGUUGUAAAGCUCUUUUAGUCGGAAAGAAAGAGUCGCAAUGAAUAAUUGUGAUUUAUGACGGUACCGACAGAAAAAGCACCGGCUAACUACGUGCCGGCAGCCGCGGUAAUACGUAGGGUGCGAGCGUUAAUCGGAAUUACUGGGCGUAAAGGGUGCGCAGGCGGUUUUGCAAGUCAGAUGUGAAAGCCCCGGGCUUAACCUGGGAAUUGCGUUUGAAACUACAAGGCUAGAGUGCAGCAGAGGGGAGUGGAAUCCCAUGUGUAGCAGUGAAAUGCGUAGAGAUGUGGAAGAACACCGAUGGCGAAGGCAGCUCCCUGGGUUGACACUGACGCUCAUGCACGAAAGCGUGGGGAGCAAACA